GGCCGCCGGGGGGCAUCUGCCCCCGGGCCCGCGCCCGCCGGAGACACCACGAACUCUGUCUGAUCUAGUGAAGUCUGAGUUGAUUGUAUCGCAAUCAGUUAAAACUUUCAACAAUGGAUCUCUUGGUUCCGGCAUCGAUGAAGAACGCAGCGAAAUGCGAUAACUAGUGUGAAUUGCAGAAUUCCGUGAAUCAUCGAGUCUUUGAACGCACAUUGCGCCCCCUGGUAUUCCGGGGGGCAUGCCUGUCCGAGCGUCAUUGCUGCCCAUCAAGCACGGCUUGUGUGUUGGGUCGUCGUCCCCUCUCCGGGGGGGACGGACCCCAAAGGCAGCGGCGGCACCGCGUCCGGUCCUCGAGCGUAUGGGGCUUUGUCACCCGCUCUGUAGGCCCGGCCGGCGCUGGCCCACGCAAACAACCCUUUUUCCAGGUUGACCUCGGAUCAGGUAGGGAUACCCGCUGAA
rnacentral:rRNA from 1 species